UGCCGUCUGUCUCGUAGUCGUCGACGGCGACAAAAAUUCGAUUUUGACAGAAAAAAUGGCAGCAGUAGCAGAAGCAGCAGUGAGCAGCAUUGUUUUUGAAAUGAAGCCGCAAUUGAAUACAUAUUCAAAUGUUAUACGAAAUUGGCAG
ensembl:ncRNA F57B1.14 ncRNA